rnacentral:lncRNA from 1 species
UGUCUAUUACAAUCUUUACACUACACCACAACCCAGAUAUACCUACUACUGCCUAAUAUUACAAUACAUAUACUACUCUUUGUUGAUACGCUUCAUAGCUUCACACUUGGCUUUGUACUUCACCUAUGCAAAAAAAUAAGAAUAAGAUGUGAACUAACACUACAGGUAUUUAAAUAACAGCAUUUACAAAAAAGUGUGAACUAACACUACAGGUUGUCAUAUACAAAAAUAGUAGGUUGUUCAAGUGCAGAUGAGUUCGACUUCAAAAGCUAAAAUUGCAUCGACUACUGUCUACGACAGUUAAAAUAUACAAGAAAUUUGUUCAUAUACAAGAAAAGUAGGUUGUCUGCUUCCAGUGGCACCAAGUAUAAACUGAAAAAACAUGUUCGGACGACCAGCUAAUAAUUAGUGGAACAUGAGAGCACUGGUUCAUCUCAAAUACAAAAA